GGCUGCAAGUGCCGAAAGGCCGCAGGUGAGGAAAGUCCGGGCUUCAUAGGGCAGGAUGCCGGAUAACGUCCGGUGGAGGUGACUCCAAGGCUAGUGCAACAGAAAUAAACCGCCUGAAUUUUCAGGUAAGGGUGGAAAGGCAGUGUAAGAGACUACCGCCCGUCUGGUAACAGAGGGGGCAUAUGUAAACCCCAUCCGAAGCAAGACCGAAUAAAAACAUUGUGGCUGCCCGUCACGUUUUAGGUGGGUCGCUUGAACCUAUUGGCAACAGUAGGUCUGGAUAGAUGAACAUUCACGACAUAACCCGGCUUAUCGUUUUGCUUG
rnacentral:RNase_P_RNA from 1 species